ACAACGCUUUUUUCAGCAGAUUCCUCAUGUCACAAGACGGAUCUCCCCAGUGUCAAAAAUGCAAAAAUUAUGUUUGAGAUUGAGGCUUCAGAUGAAUUGAGGGUUGUGGCUAGGAGAGGGAUGGUGAGCAGGUAUCCAGUUAGGAGUUAUGGGGGGCAGGGGGGUUUGCAGGCAGCAGGGUGAGAAAGGGUGUUUAUUUGUUUAUUUGAGGCCCCCCUCCACCAAGGCUUUUCAGAGGCAUAGCAGAGGCAUUCCCAUGCCUUUCAGCACACAAGGUCAUCGACUGCCAUUUAAUUUUAGGAAUGCCAUUUAGUUUUGCCUUUUUCUAACUCAGGUGCCACUAAUAAUAAAGGCUACAGCCUUGGAAUCAGGAUGAAGGUGGAGCCUGAAGGAGCCAGGCAUACUCAGGAGAGGGCAAGUAGCUGACUUGCUGGCAUUUAGCCCACAUAACUCUGGGCUCAUCCUUUGGUUUUGGUUUUCUUUAUUGUAGCUAACCAAGAAGCUAACAGGCCAUCACAAGGCCCUCGAAGGCAGACUCAUUUCAGGCACAAUGUGGAUUCACAUCACUGAUCAUCCAAAAGAUAAGUCAGGGGCCAUGGGCCAAAGAUGGGAUGAUGGGCAAGUAGCAGGUUGGGAGUUCUUGGGACAGAUUUAAAAAUCAGCAGAGGGAAAAGCAAUCUUCUCCAAGGGGCCUCUGCGGACAGCUAAAGGGAGAGGCUCUACUUUUGAUGGCAGCUUUCAGGCAGGUAGUGCAGAACAGCUCUGGUCUGUCGCGUUGUCCGGUGUACCGUGUUACCUAGUGUGUCUUUGGGGGCCCCUUUUGCCUUUUCCCCUUGAUGCCCUCACCACAAGCAUGAUGUGUCGUGUUUAAUGUCCCCCCGUUUGUCACGUUCUGUGUCACGGGUGUCUGCACGUAUUUGUGCCAGGGCUGCUCUGCCCUGCCGCAUAGCCUGCUGCAAUAGGACAAGCCUGGGGAGUUGAAAUUUGUAAUUUGGGUGUACUUGGGCUCUAGAUGCUAUUCCAAGAUUGACAUAAGGUGUUUGCAUGUUGUGAGUUAUCCUGGUGGUGUUUGACACAUGUUCUAACUUUCUUUCAGGUGCAGAUGCAUUGCAUCCAUGGCAGAGGGUCAGGGUUAGGAGGUGCCGGGCCUUCUUAGGAGCACGCUGUCUGAGAGACACCAGCCUGGUGACAGCAGGACCUUCCCAGCUGACAAGGUGGCCUUUCUUUGUACCUGACAGGGACCGGCAUCCCCCAAUGUCUGAGAGAUAAGUAGAGGGCUACGACCCACAGAGGGGAUGAAAGCAGGGUGCUGGUUUGGGAAUUACUGGGAGGGGUUUCUGAGUCUGCUUUGGAGGUGAGGGGUGUUCAUGAGGUGGCCCCUUGGGCGCCAAAAAAGCAAAGUCUCACUUUUGAUGACAGUGCUGAGGUGUGCAGCAGGGCAGAGCAGCUCCGGUAUGUAUCGUGUCACUUGUCUGUCAUCCAUUAUGUGUUGUUUGUGUAUCUCCUGUCUUUUACCUUAGCCCUUUGAGGGGCCUGUCAGAAACCCUGGCACCAUUCUUAGCAUCCAUGAUCUCAGCAUUCCUUGCCCUGGCACCCAUGCCAUGGAACUUUUGACUGGGGAGCUCAGGCAGGCAUCAGAAAUGCCUCUCUCUUUGGAAGCAUCCUGUCAGAUGUCUUUUCAGGUCUUGUUCUGAGCUGUACGGACAGCUAUGCCCCGCCAGGAUCCAUUAUGGCUGAUUAGGACGUGUAAGAAUGCGAGGUUAGGGAGAGGAUUCUGACUGUAGGAUUCCUAGGCAUCCAUCUUUGCAGUUCUUGGAAUAAAUCAUUCGGUUAAGCAUUGUCUUCCUCCAGGGUUCUCUGAGCCUCAUCAGCUCACCAUCGGUCUGACCUCGGUCAUUUCCUUUUGCAUUCUCUCAAUCCUGGCAGCGAUUUUUCUUACAAAGGGAUUUCUGUCUGUGUCUUGUGCCAUUUGUUUGUCACGUCCUGUCUGUCCUGUGUCAUGGGUGUCAGCACACAUUUGUGCCAGAGCUGCUCUGCCCUGCUGCAUAGCCUGGUGCAAUAGGAGGCAUCUCAGGGACUUGGAAUUUGUAAUGUGGGGUGCAGGUGGACUCUAGAUGGAAUUUGGAGAUGGACACAGGAUAUCUGGAGCCCAUAAGUUAUCCUGCAGCCCUUUGACUUUCAUUCUAACUUUCUUUUAGUUGCAGAAGGAUAAAAUCCAGGGCAGAGCCACCCAUCCUGGGUGAGGGGAUUCCCCCAUGCAGGAAGUCAGGGCAAAGAGCAGCUGUCAAGGCUGAGUGGGCAAGAUGGUCCGCUUGCCAUCUAUCCUAGCCCAGCAUGCCCGUGCCAGGUGCUGUCACUGCCCUAGGCAUGACCAAGGAACAGAGGAGGGCAGGU